GACGAACGCUGGCGGCGUGCUUAACACAUGCAAGUCGAACGGAAAGGCCCUGCUUGCCGGGUACUCGAGUGGCGAGCGGGUGAGUAACACGUGGGUGAUCUGCCCUGCACUUCGGGAUAAGCCUGGGAAACUGGGUCUAAUACCGGAUAGGAGCCAUUUUUAGUGUGAUGGUUGGAAAGUUUUUUCGGUGUAGGAUGAGCUCGCGGCCUAUCAGCUUGUUGGUGGGGUAAUGGCCUACCAAGGCGGCGACGGGUAGCCGGCCUGAGAGGGUGGACGGCCACAUUGGGACUGAGAUACGGCCCAGACUCCUACGGGAGGCAGCAGUGGGGAAUAUUGCACAAUGGGCGCAAGCCUGAUGCAGCGACGCCGCGUGGGGGAUGACGGCCUUCGGGUUGUAAACGCCUUUCGCUAGGGACGAAGCUUUUUGUGACGGUACCUAGAUAAGAAGCACCGGCUAACUACGUG
rnacentral:rRNA from 1 species